CAUGUGCUUGACUUCUGGAGGAGCAAUUGUGGCCUUACCUCGUGCUUCCAUCUUGCUGUCCUUCCUGUCCUCCAAGACAAGGCAUCUUUGAAUUAAUGGAAGUGCUAACGGGCAAAGCAGCUCAACCUUGUGAUGCUGAGAGGUCAUGAUGUGAUGCUUGAGAGCUCAUGCUGACCAGGGAAGCUGGAGAAGAGGGCCUGGGAGAGGAGCAAGGAGGGGAAUGCAGUGGUGAUGAGACUGCGAAUUUGAGUCCUUUCAAAGACAGAAAUCAUCUAGCACAAGGUGGAGGAGUCUGGAGGACCUGCUGGCUGGGCCAGAGGCAGGAAGCUGCAGAGAUGGCUGCUCCCACUGCCCUGGAUGACACAACCCAUCAGAGAGGCAUCAACGUGCCACCUUCCAGUGCAAGGGAGCAGUGAGAGUCCAAGAAGGAGUCAACAAAUUGGCAAUUUACACUCCUGUGCUGGUGGGGGAUCAUGGUCAUAUUUUAUGGCUGUUACAUGACAAACAAAAGUCAGUUGCAGAGUAUGGCAAGCUGCAGAGGAGUCCUGAGCAUCGGGGUGAAUGCUGCUUGGCAAACCCAGUUCCUUUUAGAGCACACCCUGCUUUACAGUUUUUACAUGGAAAGGAGCUGGGGAGAGGCCAUCCUGGGCUCCUUCUCUUUCUGCAAGAAAAGCAAGAGAAGCCAGAGGAUAAAAGACCAAAAGACAAAAAUUGAAGCUCCAUCUCACAAAGCAGGAUUUCACCCAGCUUGUAGGGUUGCCACUGUCUGAUGAGCCAGUGAGACGCAUCCAAAUGGAUCUUGCAGGUCUUUUUUUUGGAGCACAGCUUGAUGAUUUUCCCUUUUGAAGCUUCUGCAUUGCUUCCCAUCUGUUUGCUUACUCAUGGAGGGAAAAUGUAUUCAUUAUUUACUUCUCUCCCUGAAAUUAUGUUUGUGGACUUCAAAGCUUCUCUUUAUGUCCUGUAGAGCGCCAGCCCUCUUUUAGUAAUAUAUAUUUUGCUUCUCUUUUGGCAACUUGAUCAAAAGCUAAACACUGGUCAGAAAUUAUGUCUAAUUUUUUAGAUGAACAUGGCCAUCUAAAAACCUAAAAUUCCUACUAAUGCCCAUCCCAGCCUUGCAGAAACCCGUGUGAACCAUCCAAUUGAACUGUAGUUAGUGCAACUCCUCUCUGUGUAGUAUUAGGAGGCUGCAUAUGUCUGGAUGCAUGCAAGGAAAGCAGCAAAACACAAAGCUGGCUAAGGAAGGAAGUGUCAAUGGACUUGUUUUUCUGCAAACUGCUCCCUCUGCCUAGCUUGGCAAUCACUUGGCUGGAGGUAAAACAAGUGCCAGGUCUGCCUCCUGACUCAGCAGGCUUCAGCGUGUUCUUGCAUAAAGUGCAAGGAGUGCAAACACUGGAUAUCUGUGGGAGAAGCUGUUGAUCGGAGCAUGGGUGGUCACAUCUGGAGCUACGGCAGAAGCAAAGCUAGGUUACUAAAGCCAAGAUGAAGACAUCACCAGGCCAGGGGAUGCGACAGUCUGAAGGACACAAAAGAAACGCCAUGGAACACCACAGAGGGUCAGCACAAGGAAAGGAAGUUGCUGAGAACGGAAUCCUUGCCUUGAUCUCCUGUUGUCAACAGCAGACACCCACAUGCUUCACUUGGGUGGGUAAAACUGAGGAGGACAGCAUAGGAGGCUGUGGACAGAGAACUGUCCCAGGAUGAGAAGUGCAAAUAGAGAGCUGCUGACAGCUGACAGGCAAGUUCAGUCCAGCACGCCAUGGACAAAAGUCACAGAGACUGUUUAUUUCUUUCUGUGAGAAUGGUGCAGAAUAGCCUGGAAGUUGUGAGCUGAACCCACAGAUAGCUAACAGCCACAAGAGCACAAGAGAGCUUGCAAAACAACAGCUCCUGCUUAGAUUUGGUGGCUUCAAAGAGUGUGACGCACAAAGCAUUGAGGAUACAGAGGGGGAGACCUCAUUAUCAGUCUGAGCCUAGCCACAGGCAGACAAGGAGACUGGAAGAAAAAGGACCAGGUGUGAUAACACAUAGAGAAAAAUCUGUCCUGACUUCCAUUCGAGAUUUUUUUGAAGAUUGGAUGGGGAGAUGGCAUACCCUGGCCACCAACUAAUUUCUUCGAGACACUGUCCUUGUGCUUAUACCUGUGUUGUGCUUCCCUGACUGUAAAACAGCAGUCCUUCCUGGGCUAGGAAGUCCCAGUUGUUUUGCUGGUAGAAGAAAGCAGAGGGUAUAAAUAGUUUGUCAGCUCUACCAGGCUGGCCUCCAGAGGUAAGUCCCAGAGCUGAGUUCAGGUUGACCUGUGCUUGCGGUGGCUGAAAUUUCAGAUCUCUCCAGGCUCCUGCAGGCUUUCCAGCCCCCAUGGAUUCAUCAGUUUUUACUUUUCUGGAAGUAUGUAAGCUGACAAAGACACUGACAGGUUAUUUCAAUUAACUUCCAGUCCCCUGGAAACCUAAGAGGAAGAGAUUUAGCUCAGCCCUGCCCUUGGUUUUUCCUAAGAUACUUCCACUAACUCAGCAUUGGUGAGGCUGCACCUGCAGUACUGCGUCCAGUUCUGGGCCCUCUGUUACAGGAGAGAUAUGGGCAUACUGGAAAGAGUCCAGCAGAGAGCCACCAAGAUGAUGGUGGGACUGGAGUACCUCUGUGGUGAGGAGAGGCUGAGAGCUGGGACCAUGCAGCCUGGAGAAGAGGAGGCUCGGGGCGGGAGAUCUCAUCACUGUCUAUAAACACCAGAAAGGAGGGUGAAAACAAGACAUAGCCAGGCUAUUGUCAGUGGUGCCCAGUGCCAGGACCAGAGGCAAUGGGCACAAACUGGAGCACAGGAGGUUCCCUCUGAACAUCAGGAAUCACAUCUGUAUUGUGCAGCUAACAGAGCACUGGCACAGGUUGCCAGAGAGACUGUGGAGUGUCCUCCUUGGAGACCUUCAAAAUCCACCAGGAUGUGGUCCUGGGCACCCUGCUGGAGGUGGCCCUGCUUGAGCAGGGGCUGGACCAGAUGGACCCAGAGGUCCCUUCCCACCCCAACCAGUCUGGGGUUCUGGGAUUCUGGGAUCUGUGUACUUGUGUUUGCAUACGUAUGUCUUUGAGUGCACAGAGAUCAGAAACCUCCUCCAAAUAAAUAAAAUAGUGAGCUUUUCAU